rnacentral:rRNA from 1 species
GAUGAACGCUGGCGGCGUGCUUAACACAUGCAAGUCGAACGGUGAACGAGGGAGCUUGCUCCCUCCGGAUCAGUGGCGAACGGGUGAGUAACACGUGAGCAAUCUGCCCUGGACUCUGGGAUAAGCGUUGGAAACGACGUCUAAUACCGGAUACGAGACGUGAAGGCAUCUUCAACGUCUGGAAAGAACUUCGGUCCAGGAUGAGCUCGCGGCCUAUCAGGUAGUUGGUGAGGUAACGGCUCACCAAGCCUACGACGGGUAGCCGGCCUGAGAGGGUGACCGGCCACACUGGGACUGAGACACGCCCCAGACUCAUACGGGAGGCAGCAGUGGGGAAUAUUGCACAAUGGGCGCAAGCCUGAUGCAGCAACGCCGCGUGAGGGACGACGGCCUUCGGGUUGUAAACCUCUUUUAGCAGGGAAGAAGCGAAAGUGACGGUACCUGCAGAAAAAGCACCGGCUAACUACGUGCCAGCCGCCGCAGUAAGAC